AAUUUUCUUAUUAAAGGAAAGGAAUUUAAAAUCGCAUCGCAUGCAAUGUAUAACAUCAUGUGACAAUAGUUUACUAAAAUUUGCUGUAGAGAAAUUUUUCAAAUCUCAUAAUUAUUUAUUCUCUUAAAAAUGAAGACUUUUCCCAAAACCAUAAUAUGUUCUUACAUGUUUGGAUAUAUCUCAAAUUCUUAAAUAAAUCCUAGAAUUCAAUUUUAUGUGUAACUGAGGAAUUCCAACAACAACAUAUAUACAAAUAUGCAAUUUCGGUGACUUAGUCCAAUGAAGCAUAAUACCCGUGACUAAUUUAUAAUUUAAACAU
rnacentral:lncRNA from 1 species